GACGUAGGGGACGAGCGUUGUCCGGAUUCAUUGGGCGUAAAGCGCGCGUAGGCGGUUACGCAAGUCGGUUGUGAAAUCCCCAGGCUUAACCUGGGAACUGCAUUCGAGACUGCAUUACUAGAGUAUGGGAGAGGGAAGUGGAAUUCCGGUGUAGCGGUGAAAUGCGUAGAGAUGUGGAGGAACAUCGGUGGCGAAGGCGGCAUCCUGGACCGGUAUGACGCUGAGGCGCGAAAGCCAGGGGAGCAACGGGAGUUAAGAUGAUCCCAGGAC
rnacentral:rRNA from 1 species